UUUACAUAAAGUUCUAAUGGAUCUCCAGAAUCAGCAACUGAAAGAGUUAAAUGAUUGGCUAAUCAAAACAGAAGAGAGAACAAGGAAAAUGGAGAAAGAGCCCCUUGGACCUGAUAUUGAAGACCUAAAACACCAAGUACAACAACAUAAGGUGCUUCAAGAAGACUUAGAACAGGAACAAGUCAGGGUCAAUUCUCUCACUCACAUGGUGGUGGUGGUCGAUGAAUCUAGUGGAGACCAUGCAACUGCUGCCUUGGAAGAACAACUGAAGGUACUGGGAGAUCGAUGGGCGAACAUCUGUAGGUGGACCGAAGAUCGCUGGGUUCUUUUGCAAGACGUCCUCCUAAAAUGGCAGCGUUUUACUGAUGAACAGUGCCUUUUUAGUGCAUGGCUUUCAGAAAAAGAAGAUGCAGUGAACAAGAUUCACACAACUGGUUUUAAGGAUCAAAGUGAAGUGUUAUCAAGUCUUCAGAAACUGGCUGCCUUAAAAACAGAUCUGGAAAAGAAGAAGCAAACUAUGGACAAACUCUGCUCACUCAACCAAGAUCUUCUUUCAACACUGAAAAACACAUUGGUAGCCCAAAAGAUGGAAGCGUGGCUGGACAACUUUGCCCAGCGCUGGGAUAAUUUAGUCCAAAAACUUGAAAAAAGUUCAGCACAGAUUUCACAGGCUGUCACCACCACUCAGCCAUCACUAACACAGACAACUGUAAUGGAAACGGUAACUAUGGUGACCACGAGGGAACAAAUUCUGGUAAAGCAUGCCCAAGAGGAACUGCCACCACCACCUCCCCAAAAGAAGAGGCAGAUUGUUAUGGAUUCCGAAAUUAGGAAAAGGUUGGAUGUCGAUAUAACUGAACUUCACAGUUGGAUUACUCGUUCAGAAGCUGUGUUGCAGAGUCCUGAAUUUGCAAUCUAUCGGAAGGAAGGCAACUUCUCAGACCUUAAAGAAAAAGUCAAUGCCAUAGAGCGAGAAAAAGCCGAGAAGUUCAGAAAACUGCAAGAUGCCAGCAGAUCAGCUCAGGCCCUGGUGGAACAGAUGGUGAAUGAGGGUGUUAAUGCUGACAGCAUCAAACAAGCCUCAGAACAACUGAACAGCCGGUGGAUAGAGUUCUGCCAAUUGCUAAGUGAGAGACUUAACUGGCUGGAGUAUCAGAACAACAUCAUCACUUUCUAUAAUCAGCUACAACAAUUGGAGCAGAUGACAACUACUGCUGAAAACUGGUUGAAAACCCAACCCACCACCACAUCAGAGCCAACAACAAUUAAAAGCCAGUUAAAAAUUUGUAAGGAUGAAGUCCACCGGCUGUCAGCUCUUCAGCCUCAAAUCGAACGAUUAAAAAUUCAAAGCGUAGCCUUGAAAGAAAAAGGACAAGGGCCAGUAUUCCUGGAUGCAGACUUUGUGGCCUUUACAAAUCAUUUUAACCAAGUCUUUGCUGAUGUGCAGGCAAGAGAAAAAGAGCUCCAAACAAUUUUUGACACUUUGCCACCCAUGCGCUACCGGGAGACCAUGAGUACCAUCCUGACAUGGAUCCAGCAGUCAGAAACCAAACUCUCUAUACCUCAGGUCACUGUCACUGAAUAUGACAUCAUGGAAAAAAGACUGGGAGAGUUACAGGCUUUACAAAGCUCUCUGCAAGAACAACAAAGUGACCUAAACUAUCUCAGCACCACUGUGAAAGAGAUGUCAAAGAAAGCACCACUGUCUGAUAUUAGCCGGAAGUAUCAAUCAGAAUUUGAAGAGAUUGAGGGUCGCUGGAAGAAGCUGUCUUCCCAGUUGGUUGAACUUUGCCAGAAGCUAGAGGAGCAAAUGGCUAAACUUCGAAAAAUUCAGAAUCACAUAAAAACUCUGAAGAAAUGGAUGGCUGAAGUUGAUGUUUUUCUGAAGGAGGAAUGGCCUGCCCUUGGGGAUUCAGAAAUUCUGAAAAGACAGCUGAAACAGUGCAGGCUUUUAGUCAAUGAUAUUCAGACGAUUCAGCCCAGUCUCAACAGUGUCAGUGAAGGUGUGCAAAAGCUGAAGACUGAAGCAGAGCCGGAGUUUGCCAGCAGACUUGAGACAGAACUCCGAGAACUUAACACUCAGUGGGAUUACGUGUGCCGUCAGGUCUAUGCCAGGAAGGAAGCCUUAAAGGGAGGUUUGGAUAAAACUGUAAGUCUUCAGAAAGAUCUGUCAGAGAUGCAUGAAUGGAUGACGCAAGCUGAAGAAGAAUACCUAGAGAGAGAUUUCGAAUAUAAAACCCCUGAUGAAUUACAGACAGCAGUUGAAGAGAUGAAGAGAGCUAAAGAAGAGGCCCAGCAGAAAGAAGCCAAAGUGAAACUCCUUACUGAGUCCGUCAAUAGUGUCAUACCUCUGGCUACCCCUGCAGCACAAGAAGCCUUUAAAAAGGAACUUGACACUCUAACCACCAACUAUCAGUGGCUCUGCACCAGGCUCAAUGGCAAAUGCAAGACCUUGGAAGAAGUUUGGGCGUGCUGGCAUGAGUUAUUGUCAUACUUGGAGAAGGCAAACAAGUGGCUAAAUGAAGUAGAAUUCAAACUGAAAACCAUGGAAAAUAUUCCUGGGGGAGCUGAGGAAAUCUCCGAGGUGCUUGAUUCACUUGAAAAUUUGAUGCAACAUUCAGAGGAUAACCCGAAUCAGAUUCGCAUAUUGGCACAGACCCUAACAGAUGGUGGAGUCAUGGAUGAACUGAUCAAUGAGGAACUUGAGACAUUUAAUUCCCGUUGGAGAGAGCUGCAUGAAGAGGCCGUGAGGAGGCAAAAGUUGCUUGAGCAGAGCAUCCAGUCGGCCCAGGAGAUCGAAAAAUCCUUGCACUUAAUUCAGGAGUCCCUUUCCUCCAUUGACAAGCAGUUGGCAGCUUAUAUUGCUGACAAAGUGGACGCAGCUCAGAUGCCUCAAGAAGCCCAGAAAAUCCAAUCGGAUUUGACAAGUCAUGAGAUCAGUUUAGAAGAAAUGAAGAAACAUAACCAGGGAAAGGAGACUGCCCAAAGGGUACUGUCCCAAAUUGAUGUGGCACAGAAAAAAUUGCAAGAUGUGUCCAUGAAGUUUCGAUUAUUCCAGAAGCCAGCCAAUUUUGAGCAGCGUCUACAGGAAAGUAAGAUGAUUUUAGAUGAAGUGAAGAUGCAUUUGCCUGCGUUGGAAACGAAGAGUGUGGAACAGGAAGUAGUACAGUCACAGUUAAAUCAUUGUGUGAACUUGUAUAAAAGUCUGAGUGAAGUGAAGUCUGAAGUGGAAAUGGUAAUAAAAACUGGACGUCAGAUUGUACAGAAGAAGCAGACGGAAAACCCUAAAGAGCUUGAUGAAAGAGUCACGGCUUUGAAAUUGCAUUAUAAUGAGCUGGGAGCAAAGGUGACAGAAAGAAAGCAACAGUUGGAGAAAUGCUUGAAAUUGUCCCGUAAGAUGCGAAAGGAAAUGAAUGCCCUGACGGAAUGGCUGGCGGCUACAGAUACGGAGCUGACCAAGAGAUCAGCAGUUGAAGGAAUGCCUAGUAAUUUGGAUUCUGAAGUUGCCUGGGGAAAGGCUACUCAGAAAGAGAUUGAGAAACAGAAGGUUCACCUGAAGAGUGUCACAGAGCUAGGAGAGGCCUUGAAAAUGGUUUUGGGCAAGAAGGAAACCUUGGUGGAAGAUAAACUGAGUCUUCUGAAUAGUAACUGGAUAGCUGUCACUUCCCGAGCUGAAGAGUGGUUAAACCUUUUGUUGGAAUACCGGAAACACAUGGAAAACUUUGACCAGAAUGUGGAUUACAUCACAAACUGGAUCAUUCAGGCUGAAGCACUUUUGGAUGAAUCUGAGAAAAAGAAACCUCAGCAAAAAGAAGACAUACUUAAGCGUUUAAAGGCUGAAAUGAAUGACAUGCGCCCAAAGGUGGAUUCCACGCGUGACCAAGCAGCAAACCUGAUGGCAAACCGCGGCGACCACUGCAGGAAAGUAGUAGAGCCCAAAAUCUCAGAGCUCAACCACCGAUUUGCAGCCAUUUCUCACAGAAUUAAGACUGGAAAGGCCUCCAUUCCUUUGAAGGAAUUGGAGCAGUUUAACUCAGAUAUACAAAAAUUGCUUGAACCACUGGAGGCUGAAAUUCAGCAGGGGGUGAAUCUGAAAGAGGAAGACUUCAAUAAAGAUAUGAGUGAAGACAAUGAGGGUACUGUAAAAGAAUUGUUGCAAAGAGGAGACAACUUACAACAAAGAAUCACAGAUGAGAGAAAGCGAGAGGAAAUAAAGAUAAAACAACAGCUGUUACAGACAAAACAUAAUGCUCUCAAGGAUUUGAGGUCUCAAAGAAGAAAAAAGGCUCUAGAAAUUUCUCACCAGUGGUAUCAGUACAAGAGGCAGGCUGAUGAUCUCCUGAAAUGCUUGGAUGACAUUGAAAAAAAGUUAGCCAGCCUACCUGAACCCAGAGAUGAAAGGAAAAUAAAGGAAAUUGACCGUGAAUUGCAGAAGAAGAAAGAGGAGCUGAAUGCGGUGCGCAGGCAAGCUGAGGGCUUGUCUGAGGAUGGGGCCGCAAUGGCAGUGGAGCCAACUCAGAUCCAGCUCAGCAAGCGCUGGCGGGAAAUUGAGAGCAAAUUUGCUCAGUUUCGAAGACUCAACUUUGCACAAAUUCACACUGUCCAUGAAGAGUCGGUGAUGGUGAUGACUGAAGAUAUGCCUUUGGAAAUUUCUUAUGUGCCUUCUACUUACCUGACUGAGAUCACUCAUGUCUCACAAGCCCUAUCAGAAGUGGAACAACUUCUUAAUGCUCCCGAACUCUGUGCUAAAGAUUUUGAAGAUCUCUUUAAACAAGAGGAGUCGCUGAAGAACAUAAAAGACACCUUGCAACAAAUCUCAGGUCGGAUUGACAUCAUUCACAAAAAGAAGACAGCAGCAUUGCACAGUGCCACCCCUGCAGAAAGGGCAAAGCUCCAGGAAGCUCUCUCACGGCUCGAUGUCCAAUGGGAAAGAGUUAACAAAAUGUACAAGGACCGACAAGGGCGAUUUGACAGAUCUGUGGAAAAAUGGCGGAGGUUUCAUUAUGAUAUGAAGAUACUCAAUCAAUGGCUAACCGAGGCGGAACAGUUUCUCAAAAAGACACAAAUCCCUGAGAAUUGGGAACAUGCCAAAUACAAAUGGUAUCUGAAGGAACUCCAGGAUGGCAUCGAACAGCGGCAAACUGUUGUCAGGGUAUUGAAUGCGACUGGGGAAGAAGUAAUUCAACUGUCCUCCAAGACAGAUGCCAACAUUCUGCAAGAAAAACUGGGAAGCCUGAAUCUGCGGUGGCAGGAGGUCUGCAAACAGCUGGUAGAAAGAAAAAAGAGGCUAGAGGAACAAAAGAAUAUCUUGUCAGAAUUUCAAAGAGAUGUAAAUGAAUUUGUUUUAUGGUUGGAGGAAGCAUUUUUUUUUUCUAGUAUUCCACUUGAACCUGGAAAUGAGCAGCUUUUUUUUUUAAAACUUGAACAAGUCAAGUUACUGGCUUUUUUUUUUCCCCUGCGCCAGGGAAUUCUAAAACAAUUAAAUUUUUUUUUUUGAACAGUGCUUGUAAGUGCUCCCAUAAGCCCAGUUUUUUUUUUUAAACUUGAAAAUAAGCUCAAGCAGACAAAUCUUUUUUUUUUUAAGGUUUCUAGAGAUUUGCCUGAGAAACAAGGAGAAAUUGAAGCAUACAUAAAAGACCUUGGGCAGCUGGAAGAGCAGUUAAAUCAUCUGCUUCUGUGGCUGUCUCCUAUUCGGAAUCAGUUGGAAAUUUACAAUCAGCCGAAUCAAACGGAACCAUUUGACAUUAAGGAAAUUGAAGUAGCGGUUCAAGCUAAACAGCCGGAUGUAGAAGGGAUUUUGUCUAAAGGGCAGCAUUUGUACAAGGAAAAACCAGCCACUCAGCCAGUGAAGAGAAAGCUGGAAGAUCUGAGCUCUGAUUGGAAGGCGGUAACCCACUUACUUCAAGAGCUGAGGGCAAAGCUGCCUGGCCCGGCUCCUGGACUGAGCACUGUCGGAGCCCCUCCUAGUCAGACUGUUACUCUGGUGACACAACCCGCGGUUACCAAGGAAACUGCCAUCUCCAAACUAGAAAUGCCAUCUUCCUUGCUGUUGGAGGUACCCGCCCUGGCAGAUUUCAACAGAGCUUGGACAGAACUUACCGAUUGGCUGUCUCUGCUCGAUCGAGUUAUAAAAUCACAGAGGGUGAUGGUGGGUGAUCUUGAAGACAUCAACGAGAUGAUCAUCAAGCAGAAGGCGACGCUGCAGGAUUUGGAACAGAGGCGCCCCCAGUUGGAAGAACUCAUUACCGCUGCCCAGAAUUUGAAAAACAAGACCAGCAAUCAAGAGGCUAGAACAGUCAUUACUGAUCGAAUUGAAAGAAUUCAGAAUCAGUGGGAUGAAGUGCAGGAACACCUUCAGAACCGGAGGCAGCAGUUGAAUGAAAUGUUAAAGGAUUCAACACAAUGGCUGGAAGCUAAAGAAGAGGCUGAGCAGGUGUUGGGACAGGCCAGAGCCAAGCUCGAGUCAUGGAAGGAGGCUCCCUACACAAUGGAUGCAAUCCAAAAGAAAAUCACAGAAACCAAGCAGUUGGCCAAAGACCUCCGCCAGUGGCAGAUAAAUGUAGAUGUUGCAAAUGAUUUGGCACUGAAACUUCUCCGGGAUUAUUCUGCGGAUGAUACCAGAAAAGUUCACAUGAUAACAGAGAACAUCAAUGCCUCUUGGGCAAGCAUUCAUAAAAGAGUGAGUGAGCGAGAGGCUGCCCUGGAAGAAACGCACAGAUUACUGCAACAGUUCCCCCUGGACCUGGAGAAGUUCCUUGCCUGGCUUACGGAAGCCGAGACAACUGCCAACGUCCUGCAGGAUGCCACCCAUAAGGAAAGGCUCCUAGAAGAUUCCAAGGGAGUAAGAGAGCUGAUGAAACAAUGGCAAUUCAAGCGAGGUCAGUGGGGACAGCUUGACUCUGCUCCUCAUGAUGUCAGCUGGGGCAGACCAACUGGCCCCUGGAGGAUCUACAUUGAAGUGGGCUCACCCACAUGCCUGGCAAAUGGGUGCUGGCUGUCAGUUCCUCUUCAUGUGGGCCUCUCCAGGGGGCAGUUUGGGCUUUUUCACAGAAAAAUCGCUGGGUCCCCAGAGCAGCCAUCCCAAGGGACAAGAAGCUGA